UGAUAUACCAACUAUCUCCAACUACGCUAAUGGUCUGGUAGAAGUUGAUACAAAGAGGGUUCAGAAGUUUAUAGCAGAGGAGAUGAUUUUGAUAGAAAAUAUCCAUAUUUUAAAUGUUGUGUCUAGUGCUGCACUGUGGCCCGGACAUGAACCAGACCGGAUUGGACCCGCGAUCCUAGCGUCCUAACGGGCCUGGUGGGCCAGUCCUGAUA
rnacentral:lncRNA from 1 species